UUGGAGGGCAGUCUGGUGCCAGCAUCCGCGGUAAUUCCAGCUCCAAUAGCGUAUAUUAAAGUUGUUGCAGUUAAAAAGCUCGUAGUUGAAUUUCGGAAUUUUUUUAUCGGUCGAAUCAACAGGUUCGUACUGAUUUUAAGAAUUUCUACCUUCUGGAGAACCUUAAUGUCAUUAAUUUGGUGUUUUGGGAAACCAGGACUGUUACCUUGAAAAAAUUAGAGUGUUUAAAGCAGGCUUAUGUCUGAAUAUAUUAGCAUGGAAUAAUGAAAUAGGACGGCAUGGUUCUAUUUUGUUGGUUUCUAGGAUCACCGUAUGAUUAAUAGGGAUAGUUGGGGGCAUUAGUAUUCAAUUGUCAGAGGUGAAAUUCUUGGAUUUAUUGAAGACUAACUUCUGCGAAAGCAUUUGCCAAGGAUGUUUUCAUUAAUCAAGAACGAAAGUUAGGGGAUCGAAGACGAUCAGAUACCGUCGUAGUCUUAACCAUAAACUAUGCCGACUAGGAAUCGGACGAAGUUAAUUUUUUAAUGACUCGUUCGGCGCCUUACGGGAAAC
rnacentral:rRNA from 1 species